UAAGGAAUAUUGGACAAUGGACGCAAGUCUGAUCCAGCCAUGCCGCGUGAAGGAUGAAUGCCCUCUGGGUUGUAAACUUCUUUUAUAGGGGAAGAAAGAUACUUUUUUUAAGGUAGUUGACGGUACCCUAUGAAUAAGCACCGGCUAACUCCGUGCCAGCAGCCGCGGUAAUACGGAGGGUGCAAGCGUUAUCCGGAUUCACUGGGUUUAAAGGGUGCGUAGGCGGGCAUGUAAGUCAGUGGUGAAAUACCGGAGCUUAACUUCGGAACUGCCAUUGAUACUAUAUGUCUUGAAUAUUGUGGAGGUAAGCGGAAUAUGUCAUGUAGCGGUGAAAUGCAUAGAUAUGACAUAGAACACCGAUUGCGGAGGCAGCUUGCUACGCAAAUAUUGACGCUGAGGCACGAAAGCGUGGGGAUCAAACA
rnacentral:rRNA from 1 species